UCAAUGGGCCAUGAUGCGCAAACGGCCUCAAAAUUCUACGUUUCCUUGCCACGACGAGAUAGGGCCUACCGUGCACGGGAGCUCCGCAUGUCUGCCUUGGACAAGGAACUACGGCAAAGCGGGUCCAGUGCGGGAAGCCCCUCCACCUGGGAUAGCCCCUCCAGCUCAUCCACCUCCGUGUCGGUUCGCGGCAGGUCCAUGCCGUACGACAGCCCCUCCAGCGCGUCCACCUCCAUCUCGGUUCGCGGCAGGUCCAGGCCGUACGACAGCCCCUCGAGCGCGUCCACCUCCAUCUCGGUUCGCGGCAGGUCCAGGCCGGGCGGCAGCCCCUCCAGCUCAAGCGCAACAUCCACCUGCGGUCCAGGUGAGAUCUCUUCUGAUGAGGGGGAUAUGGUCAUCGACCUUUCCCCCCCUGCAGUUAAUCCCUCCCUGGAAGAUUUUGACCUCAGAAAGAAGAAUGCCAGCACUCCUCGGAUCACGUUGCCCAUCUUCACCCAGAGCACUGACCACAGCUCCCCAGAACUCCGUCUAGACCUGAGCGACUCGGACUCAACCCUGUCACGUUUGCCUGGGAUACAUCAACGCAUGAUGGGUAAAAGGGUACGGAAGGCCCUGUUCAUCCGGACGGCUCCUCCCUCUCCCUCCGCAAAGCGUAAAUCCACGAUGGAUGCUGGAUUUCCCGCUGCCAAGCGGCUGCUUGGCCAUGCCUAUUGGAUUAGUAGCCCUCCAAAGAAAAAACAGGCUGUGUGCUCGUCAGGGUAUAACUCUGAUCCAGGUUUAGGGCCGAUCUCAAAGGUCUUCAGCCCUCUUGUGAAGAACACUCAGACCCCAAAACGUCAGCCUCUUGACAAGGUCCACAGUCCAACUGUUGUGCCAGAGACACAGGAUCUAGAGUCCCCUCGUUAAAAAAAAGCACUUUAAAAAGUUCCAAAGAACAGUUCACGUAGGGGCUAGGCCCCAGUGUUAUGGCUCACUGAGUCCCUUUUUGUUUAAAAAAAAGACAUAAUUCUUAAAGAAUUUUAAGUUGUUUGUGCCUAAGGCAAAGAGUGAAGAAAGUAAUGGCUGAAUGACGGGCUAGGCCCCAAUGUUAU